rnacentral:rRNA from 1 species
GACGAACGCUGGCGGCGUGCUUAACACAUGCAAGUCGAGCGGAGCGGCGAAAGGGUGAGUGACGAGUGAGUAACUGCCCCCCUCUCUGGGAUAACAGUUGGAAACGGCAGCUAAUACCGGAUAGUGGGGGAUGACUCGCGUCCUAUCAGCUUGUUGGUGGGGUAGUGGACUACCAAGGCGACGCCGGGUAGCCGGCCUGAGGGGGCGACCGGCCACAUUGGUCUGAGAUACGGCCCCAACUCCUACGGGAGUCAGCAGUUGGGAAUAUUGCACAAUGGGUGAAACCCUGCUGCAGCAACGCCGCGUGCGGGAUGCCGGCCUUCGGGUUGUAAACCGCUUUCAGCCAUGACGCGGUAGUGGCAGCAGAAUCACCGGCUAACUACGUGCCAGCAGCCGCGGUAAUAC